CGGACGCCGACCAACCAGAGAUUGAGAUUAGGAUGCUGCUGCUGCUGCUGCUUUAUUCGGACGUGACACCACCACUGUACCGCCACCGCACUCACCCGGCCGGCAAGCUACAUACAUUACAUGACCAGAGAAGGCGCAGCGGGGAGGGCAGAUUCCUCUGCCAAAGAUUUCCCCACCUUCCCGAAUUGAAUUUCACCACAGGCCAGAGGCGUUCGUCCCCUGCUUCCCGGAUCAUCGUUACUUACUUGAUCUGGCCACGGUUCUGGAAGUUUCACCGACUUGGUUGCUUUGAAUAGGAGUAUGAACUAUCACCAACUUGGUGAACAGUUAUUUUUAUGGGAAUAGAAAAGCUCCAUAAGCAGCCCUCUGGUCGUCUGGUUGAAUCCCUUAAAAUGGAGAGGGUUAGGACCAUUCUGACUCAUGGAUACCCAUACCCACAUAAGAACUCGAGACAUUUCAUGAUUAGAAAGACUAUCAAGCCAGACUAUUCAAACUUUAGUCGUUGGUACGUUGCUUGGAUAUUCUUGGCCGCAUUAACCAUCGCCCUAGUUUUCAGUCAAUGGGGUUGGAUUUGAGGAUGAAUCUUUCCCUCUUCCUCGCUGUUUAUAUUUCCUCUCUAGUUUUCUUUAUCAUCUUCCACGUCAUAUUUCUUGGACUCUGGUAUUUGGAUCUUAGUUUCUCGCAUGGCACAGAAAAAGCCAGAGAUGCUUACUAUAGUCCAAAAUUGUGCAGUGAUAAGUAUAGCUUGCUGCGUGUUCUACAGCCACUGUAGUAACAGGACUCUUUCAAGGGACCAAUCUUUUGAUCGUAGAACUGCUAGCUUGGUUGCAUUUUCACUAUGGAGAAAGCAAAAUGAGGACAAGAGACUGAUUUCAAAGCAAUUGCCUAUGCAUAAGCUUAAGGGCCAGAUUUGCUCGUCCUGGUUUGCUCCGGUUGGCUCUGCCAGUGAUUACCCACUUCUAUGGAAAUGGGCCAUUUAUGGAGAAUUAGCUUCCAAUGGAUCUGAACACUCCAACAUCAUUUCACCUGUCUACUCUUUGUGGGUUACAUUCAUUGGUCUUACAUGGCCAAUUAUGUCGUGGAGCGGUCAACUGGAUGGGCUCUAAAUCAUCCUUUAACAAUUUCGGAGUAUGAGAAUCUGAAGAAACUGUUGAAACCGGAUUUUGAGGACAUGGUUCCUUGGUAUUCUGGGCUGCUAUGAACAAAGGUCCAGACGAAUCUAAGAGCAGCUACCUUUUGUACAAUCAUCUUGAUGGAAAAGACGAACUUUGGUUUGACUUCAUUGCAGAUACCGGCGAUGGGGGCAACUCUACAUAUGCUACAGCACACUUACUUGCUCAGCAUUCUUUAGUGUAAAAUCUGAUGAUUCGAGGCUUAUAUUUCCCCGUGGAAAACUACUAAUUGGUGGAAACCUCAUAUAUCCAAAUCCAUGCUCAUUUACAUAUGAGCAGUGUUUUUCCGCCCUUUUGAUUAUGCUCUCCGGCCUCCUGCUUGGUAUACGCCUGAACACAUAACAUUGGAAAAACCUGAACUUCCUCUUGGAGUUUAUGAGCUCAGGCAGUAUAGCCGAUCACAGUGUUUUUAUGAUUCCUGGAAACCACGUGUUAAAAAAAAUUCUUGGCAUCGGAGAAGUUACACUAUAUAUUAAGAGAGCUAUGUAAAUAAGGAUGACAAAAGCUGAUCCACAACAUGGGCUUAGCCCCAGCCUCUGAACGUAUGUGCCUCCAGUCACACUGGAUGAGCAUGAGCCUGGUAAGGAUGUGCUUCGUGCUCUGCACAGAUGCGCCUGAGGACUCGUGUAGGAUACACUGAGUUUUAGCACCACAAAGAUAUCCUCCAAGUGAGCCGAGUCGCGGAUAUGCUUGCCAAUUUUGUCUUUGGUUAAAUAGCAUCCUGUAACACCUUCCAUGCCCAUUCACCCAAGCUUUCUCCACCUCCAAUGCCCUUGGCAACCACGCCGGUUGUCAGCUCUAGCAGAACGACACCAAAGCUGUAGAUGUCAGUCUUCUUGCUCGCCUUUCCAUUGUACUGAAAGUAUUCUGCAAAAGUUGCAUUUAGUAAGCGUUCAAUGAAAAUGUUCGAGAUGCCUUGCUGGAUUUGAGACUCACCAAGGGUCAUGUACCUGUGUGUACCACAAAUGGCUGACAUGUGCUGGGACUCGCCUAGGUUGACAACCAUUCGAGUAAGCCCAAAGUCGGCGAUCUUGGCAUGGAACUUUGGGUCAAGCAAAAUGUUGUCUGACUUGAUGUCCCAGUGGAUAAUAGCCUGUCCGCACACUUGGUGGAUGUAGUUCAGACCCAAGGCUGCAUCAAUAGCGAUGGUCGGCCUCCUCGGCAUGUACAAUGGUGCAGGGGCGCCCUCGCGGUAACGGUGGUGCAGCCAGUCGUCGAAGUUGCCCUUCUCCAAGUGCUCGUAAACAAGCAGCUUGGCAUCUUAGCUGGAGAUGCUGCAAAGCAGCUUGGUGUUCUUGUGAUUGAUGCUCCCCAAUGUCUUCACCUCCGAGUUGAACGGUUUGCGGUCCGGAUUUCCCAUGUUGCAAAUCUUCUUGACAGCCACUAUUCUGCUAUUGCGAUCCUUAGUGGCACCAUCAAGGCUAGGAAGUGGACACGGUACACCUUUCCAGACCCGCUGUUGAGGAUAAUGUUCUCCUCAGAUGUGUUGUUGACCACGCUGGAUUUCGUGAAGUCUAGAGGUGUGAAUGGUGUCAUUUUCCAAUCAGUCACGACUUCUUUCACCACUUGUGUGUUCUUCCAACGCCGGAAGAGCAGCCAUAUGAUCAUGCUCAUGGAAGCGAUGAUAACCAUGACAUCGAGCACUAACAAGAUUAUCACACACUUAUGGAGGUGGGUGCCUCCGUGGUAUUUUAGGAGAUUUAUCCUCAAGUCCCACUUGGCACAAAGCCCAUGGUUUCCAAGGAAGCUGCGGUUGUACUUUGCACUUUGCAGAGAGAGGAACGCCUCCCCAUUGAGUUGGUUAAAUGACAAAUUGAGGGACGCAAUUGAAUGGUUGCCGAAGUACAUGCCGAAUUUUGCUUGUUAGCUCGUUGUUGGACAAAUCAAGGACUACCAGUGAUGAAAUUGUCUCAAUGCUCCGUGCCGGUAUUGCACCUGAUAUACGAUUGUUGCUGAGGUCAAGUGAUUUGAGAUUUUGCAACAAUUUAAUUGAUGUUGGUAUGGAUCCAGGUACCUUGUUCCCAUUUAGUGACAAUUCAGAAAGCAUGUGGAGAUUGCUCAUGCUGAAAGGUAGCUCUCCCCGGAGUUAGUUAUUCUGCACCAUCAACACCAAUAGCCUAGUUCCAAACGUCGAGAUCGAGCUGGAGAAGUGGUUGUUUUGCAUCUCAAUUCGAGAGAUAUUCAAAGAUCUCUCUUUCGACAUAGAGCCAGUGAAGUUGUCCGACAUUAGCACUGUAUGCACCAACGGCAACCACCAUAUAUUCACCAGAAACAUCCCUCGGAAGUUAUUACCGAGCAUAAUGUUUUAUCCAGCGAGAGGCAAUUGCCAAUGCUCACCGAGAGCUCGCCAGAGAAGCUGUUGUUAGAAACUACUAUGUUGAAUAGUUUCCCAUGAGCGCAUAACUCCUGCAGUGGUGAGCUAGACAAGUUUUUGUUGUAGACCUCAAUAUUUCCAAGCGGAGAGUGCUUCCCAAGUUCUUGUGGCACCUCACUCGAGAGCAUAUUGUCAAACAACUGGAUGUAUUGGAGGUUGGGAAUGAGGUCAAUGCUUCCAGGGAUGGGGCAUAUGAACUCAUUGUUGUAUAUGAUGAUAAUGGUUAGUUUCUUGAGAGUCCCAAAGUCUUCUGGUAUGCAGCCGGUGAGUUUGUUUCCCGACAAGUCUUUCUUAAUCAAAUUCACCGUAGUGAUGUUGCAUGACAGCUCCUCGAUGAGUCCAUUGUCAUACACGUACAAGAUCCCGAACUUUUGGUGCUGCCAAAUCCAGACGGGGAUUGAACCACUGAGCUUGUUGCCCCAUAGGUCCAACAUGAUUAGUUCCUUUAGGCUUGAGAAUGCCUCUAGAAUCUCGUCGGUGAAGCCAUUCGUGUCAAGAAGCGGGUUAUGGAGUGUUGAAAGCUCGGCCAUCGGCAUCGGCAGAACUGCACUAAAGUUGUUGUUAGUUAGGGUGAGGUGCUUCAUAGAUGGUUAUAACCGGCUAAUGUCUUGAGGAAGGAAUCCAUGGAAGCCAUUGUAGGAGAGAUCAAGGUACCGAAGCCAAGAGCAGGCGUAGAGCAUGAUGUCGGGGAAUCUCCCAGUGAGCUUGUUGUAUGAAAAGUCAAGGUGGAUCAGGUACUUGAGGUUGCACACAGACGGAGGGAUGCUGCCGGUAAGAUUCAAACGCUUGAAUGAAUCGCCGUAACUAGGCCUCCAGCGAUUGCCACACAGGUGUCAGCUGCGUUGUAGUAGGUGGAGGCCUAGUUACAUGGAUUUCCUUCAAGCGUUAGAAUUUUAUCGGCAGCAUCCCUCCAUCUGUGUGCAACCUCAAGUACCUGAUCCACCUCGACUUUUCAUACAACAAGCUCACUGUGAGAUUCCCGGGCAUCACGUUCUACGCUUACUCCUGGCUACGAUACCUUGAUAUCUACUAUAACAGCUUCCAUUAGUGCUUACUCAUGAUAUCAGCCAGCUGUCGCCAUCCAUGAAGCUUCUCUGCCUGACUAACAAGUUCUUCUGUAGUGUUCUGCCGACGGCGAUGGCCAAGCACUAGGCACUUCAGAACCUACUUCUUGACACGAAUGGCUUCACCGGCGAGAUUCCAGAGGCAUUCUCAAGCCUAAAGGAACUAACCAUUUUGGACAUGUGGGGCAACAAAUCAGUGGUUCGAUCCUCGUCUGGAUUUGGCAGCACCAAAAGCUCGAGAUCUCGUACUUGUAUGACAAUGUACUCAACGGGAAGUUGCCAUGCAACAUCACUGCGGUGAAUUUGAUUAAAAUAGACUUGUUGGAAAACAAACUUGCUGGCUGCAUACUAGAAGACUUUGGGACACUCAAGAAACUAACCAUUAUCAUCCUAUACAACAACGAGUUCAUAGGCCCCAUCUCCAUAAUCAUUGGCCUCAUUCCCAAACUCCAAUACAUCCAGUUGUUCGACAAUAUGAUCUCGAGUGAGGUACCACAACUUGGGAAGCACUCGCCGCUUGGAAAUUUUGAGGACUACAACAACUUGUCUGGCUCGCUACCGGAGAAGUUAUGCACCUAUGAGAAACUAUUCAACUUUGUAGUUUCUAACAACAGCUUCUCCGACGAGCACCCGGAGCAUUGGCAACUGCCUAUCGCUGGAUAACAUUAUGCUCGACAACAACAACAGCAACAACAACUUCUCUGGGAAGUUUCAGGUGAAUAUAUGGUUGUUGCCAUCGGUGCAUACAUUGCUAAUAUCGGACAACAACAUCACUAGCACUAUGCCGAUAGAGAUAUCUUCGAAUAUCUCUCAAAUUGAGAUGCAGAACAACCAUUUCUCUGACUCGACCCUGACAUUUGAGAUUGGGCUAUUGGUGUUGAUGGUGUAGAAUAACCAACUCCCGGGAGAGCUACAUGUCAACAGAAGCAAUAUCCACAUACUUUCUGAAUUGUCACUAAGUGGGAACAAGAUACCUGGAUCCAUACCAACAUCAAUUGAAUCAUUGCGGAAUCUCAAAUCACUUGACCUCAGCAACAAUCGUAUAUCAAGUGCAAUACCGUCAUGGAGCAUUGAGAUGAUUUCAUCACUGGUAAUCCUUAAUUUGUCCAACAACGAGCUAACAUGCAAUAUUCCGCCUUACUUCGGCAACCAUUCAGUUGCAUCCCACAAUUUGUCAUUUAUAACCAACUCAAUGGGAAGUUGCCCCUCUCUCUGCGAAGUGCAAAGUACAACCGCGGCUUCCUUCGAAACCGUGGGCUUUGUGCCAAGUGGGGAUUGAGGAUAAAUCUCCCAAAAUUCCACGGAGGCACCCAUCUCCAGAAGUGUAUGAUAGUCUUGUUAGUGCUCGGUGUCACUAUCAUCAUCACUUGCAUGAGCAUCGCCAUAUGGCUACUCUUCUGUCGGAAGAACACACAAGUGGUGAAAGAAGUUGUGACUGAUUAGAAAAUGACACCAUUCACACCUCUGGACUUCACGGAAUCCGACGUGCUGAACAACAUAUCUGAGGAGAACAUUGUCGGCAACGGCGGGUCUAGGAAGGUGUACCGUGUCCACCUCCCUGGCCGUCAUGGUCUCUUGAGGAUCGCAGCAGCGGAAUAGUGGCUGUUAAGAAGGUAUGCAACAUUAGAAAUCUAGACCACAAGCAGUCUGACUCGAAGGUGAAGACAUUGGGGAGCAUCAAUAACAAGAACACGAUCAAGCAGCUUUGCAGCAUCUUCAGCCAAGAUGCCAAGCUGCUUGUUUACGAACACAUGGAGAAGGGCAGCCUCGACGACUGGCUGCGCUGCUGUGACCGCAAGGGCGCCCCUACGCCAUUGGACUGGCCGACAAGGCUGACCAGGCUAUUAUCCAUCAGGACAUAAAGUCAGCCAACAUUUUGGUUGACCCAGAGUUCCAUGUCAAGAUCGCCGACUUUGGGCUUGCUCGAAUGGUUGUCAAUCCACGCCAGUCCCACCAUAGGUCAGCCAUUUUUGGGACACACAGCUACAUGGCCGAACCUCAAAUCUAGCAAGGCGUCUCAAACCUUUCUGUUGAAAUCUAACUGAAUGCAAAUUUUGCAAAAUACUAAUAGUACAGUGGAGGGGCGAGCUCUAGAAGACCGAUAUCUAUAGUUUUAGUGUCGUUCUGCUAGAGCUGACAACCGACAUGGUUGCCGUGGGCGUUGGAGGAGGAGAAAGAUUGGCUGAAUGGGCAUGGAAGGUUUUACAAGAUUGCUCUUUAACGAAAGACAAAAGCGUCGAACAUAUCCGUGACACGGUCCAGUUAGAGGAUAUUUUUUAUGGUGCUGAAACUCGGUGUUCCCUGGACGAGUCCUCAAGCGUAUCUGCGGUCGAGCAUGAAGCGCGUCCUUACCCAUUUCAUCCUCAUCCAAUGCAACCGGAGGCACGUACGUAGCUGGGCUGAGACUAUGUUGCGGAGGAGCGGGACCGCAAGGGGCACCUCCAGCAGUCGGCAUGGCCAUCGACGCGACUCUGUAGCACAUACAUCAAUCUAGAGUAAUUAAGUAUCAUUCGGACGCGGUGUUUCUGAUCGCGAGCACACCUGUGCUCUUUAUCAGAGCGGUUGAGGUGCAUGUUGGGAUGCGAUGCAUUAAAUCUAAAUGGCUGGCAGAGAUAGAAGUGCUUCCGUAAAUAAGGAAAUGAAAGAAUACACCUGGGCUAUGGGCCAAGAUGUAAACGGAGGAGAAGACGUCGGCGAAGGCAACGAGUCGAGUCGUGGCUCAGGACGUCCACUUUCUUCCUGAUCCGUGGAUCAGGAAAUUUGCUUUUCGUUAACUCAGCAGACGGAGGAGUAAAUGAGUAGAUUGGGUGGCAGGUGGAGGGGAUUGGGGUUGUCCGGCCAUCUCCUACCUCUGGCGGCUGCAACUUCGAAUCGAUAGAGCAUUCGAGCUUGGGGAGAAGAGAUUCUACUAGUAAGUCCAGAUCUAUGGGUGGAGAUGGAGUGGCUAAUGGAGCCGACUAAAAGAUCCCAUGGAUUGAUUGAGGUUGCAGUGGCGUCGAGUCACAACAUUAUCAGAUACAUGCUGUGAAAUCAUAUUUUGCGUGGGGCGCCAACAAGCCAGCGGCGGUGCUCAAGCGGUGUCACUUUCAGUGGCUAUAGCAGCCAAAAAUCAAAAGCCCUCUAUAUUCUGAUGGCAAAGCUGGUAGGCAUCUCAGUAACGAAAGAGCUUAUCACCAUGACGUGUACGUAUGUGUUUUAUAAAUAUGCAUGUAUCCCACGGGGCAUCACAUAGAUUAGCAUUCAAGGUAGGUUCGAGUCUGCAGAUCGGGUGGGACGGUAUGGCUGGAAUACGCUUGGUAACAGGGAGGAUUACCACUGCUGUGUACAAGACCUCUAAGGAAGACCAUCGUCAGUAAGCUACGAGAACAAGGGCCAUUAGCUUUUUGCAAGUGGAGAUGCAACCAUUGGAAACCAGAACGAUGAUGCUACUUGGGCAAAUGAGACUGGGACAGGCUCGCCGGAUUGUUGGCGCCAAAGAAGCGAAAAGAGAUGGGUCGCCCAACAACUAGCCGAGAGAAGGCGCCGUACCACCAUGGUGUUGUGGAACUAAAUGUGUGUGGGAAUUGUGCACUUAUUAGUUGUAUGUUGUUUUCAGGCUUACUGUAUGUCUUUGUAUGCUGUAGUCAUGAUAAUGGCAACCUGGCUUGUUUAUGAGUUAGUACUAGAAAAAACUCCUUCAGAUGUCUGUUGAACCUGUUAUCAAUCUUGUAUGAAUGGUGCGGCGAUUUCUGAA